UGGUUAUGGGUGGCUUAAAUGAUGAGCCACGAAAAACUCCCGAUCCGAAUCCAUGUCGCUCUCGACGAAGUCUACGACGAUUCCUCGCAACUCGAGGAGGCACAGCUCCCCGCUUACACUGCCUCAAGACCAAGUUUCACAAGGUCUUCGGGCACCUUCCUCAAGUCUGCGCUCGCUCUCCAGGGAGAGUGAAUUUGAUUGGAAAGCAUACAGACUAUGACGGAUUGUCGGUGUUGCCAAUGGUAGGAUAUAUACUAUUGUGGCGAUUAGGAGGAACGAAGGGGAGAAGGUUCUGAGAAUUGUGAAUGUUAAUGAUAAGUAUGAAAUGUGUACUUAUACUGCUGAUCCUAACUAGGUACAAUUCAUGUGAAUUUUCUGGAUUUUUUCUUGCUCAGAAGUUUAUUUGAAGUUUGAUCAUUGUUAUAAAAUCUUCAACGGACAAUUUUGUAUAUUUUUUUUUGUAGGAAAUUGAUUUGAAGAAUCAUAAAUGGGCCCAUUAAAUCAUUUGUGGGUACAAAUGUUUCUAUGAAUUUGCCAAAUCCCGAUGAAUAGAUCUGGGUGCACCAGUGGGACUUGAUGUUCUUAUUGAUGGAACAGUUCCUACAGGUCUUUGUAAAGAUAUAAGAUGGCUGUCAUUUGGAUGGUCUCUGAACCGGGUCAGUGAAGAAGGAAAACAAAGACACAGUUUCUUUUCUAUGGUAUUUCCUGUCAAACAAAUCGGAGAACUGGGGAAGAAAGAAGUAUAAAGCUGGUAGGUUCAUCAUUUUGCAUGUUGUGUGUUUGAAAUCUUUCCUGCUUCAUACUAUGGGCGCACUCGAACAAUUCACUUUGAAAAAUAGUCAGAUGUCUAGGUUUGAUCAUUAUAGUAUUAUGCUUCAGGUUGGGAUGAUGUUGAGGUUAAUUUGUUCAAGCAUCCAAGGUUCAUUAAACCUUUUGCAGCAUGUGAGAUAUAUCUGCGUCAUUCUAGGUGUAGAAAUGAAUUAUCUAUAGCAUUCUACGUUCUAUUCACUAUUUACUUAUUUAGUAAGUGAGGGUUUGGCUCUUGGUUCUUGGCUUCUAGAGUUUUUUUGUUAUUCCUAUACAGAUUACGAGGGAAUAGGAUGGAACAAAGUGGAAGACCGAAAAGGAGUAUAAACUACUUGGGUGAUAAAGUUUGCUCCCUUCCAUUAAUUUUUUUACUUUUUUCAUUCUUUUCUUUGGCUUACCUUUUUUCAUCUUCAUAUCCCACAUUAAGAGUGGGUUUGGGUAUGAACAGUUAGUAGUGGCUACUAGCAAUGUACUGUAGUCUGUAUGGCUUCUUUUUUUCUUUUUUAGUGUGUUCUUUUGUCCUUGAUGCUGCUCAUGUCUAAGUGGCUCUCACAAUUGGUGUGUAAUUUUCAUUGAAUUUAAUAUAUAUCUUUCUC